UGGCGGGGUAAUGGCCACCAAGGCGAUGAUUCGGUAUCCGGCCUGAAAGGGCGCACGGACACACUGGAACUGAAACACGGUCCAAACUCCUACGGGAGGCAGCAGUGGGGAAUUUUGCGCAAUGGGGGAAACCCUGACGCAGCAACGCCGCGUGGAGGAUGAAGUAUCUUGGUAUGUAAACUCCUUUCGAUGGGGAAGAUUAUGACGGUACCCAUAGAAGAAGCCCCGGCUAACUUCGUGCCAGCAGCCGCGGUAAUACGAGGGGGGCAAGCGUUGUUCGGAUUUAUUGGGCGUAAAGGGUGCGUAGCGGUUUGGCAAGUCUUAUGUGAAAUCUUCGGGCUCAACCCGAAGCCUGCAUAAGAAACUGCCGGGCUUGAGUAUGGGAGAG
rnacentral:rRNA from 1 species